rnacentral:rRNA from 1 species
UACGUAGGGAGCAAGCGUUGUUCGGAUUUACUGGGCGUAAAGGGCGCGUAGGCGGCCUGUCAAGUCAAUUGUGAAAUCUCCGGGCUUAACUCGGAACGGUCAAUUGAUACUGUCAGGCUAGAGUGCAGAAAGGGCAAUCGGAAUUCUUGGUGUAGCGGUGAAAUGCGUAGAUAUCAAGAGGAAUACCGAUGGCGAAGGCAGGUCUCUGGGCUGACACUGACGCUCAUGCACGAAAGCGUGGGGAGCAAACAGG